rnacentral:rRNA from 1 species
AGCGGCGAGUGAGCGGCAAUAGCUCAAAUUUGAAAUCUGGCACCUUCGGUGUCCGAGUUGUAAUUUGAAGAAGGUAUCUUUGGUUUUGGCUCUUGUCUAUGUUCCUUGGAACAGGACGUCACAGAGGGUGAGAAUCCCGUGCGAUGAGAUGCCCAAUUCCAUGUAAAGUUCCUUCGACGAGUCGAGUUGUUUGGGAAUGCAGCUCUAAGUGGGUGGUAAAUUCCAUCUAAAGCUAAAUAUUGGCGAGAGACCGAUAGCGAACAAGUACUGUGAAGGAAAGAUGAAAAGAACUUUGAAAAGAGAGUGAAAAAGUACGUGAAAUUGUUGAAAGGGAAGGGCUUGAGAUUAGACUUGGAAUUUUCCAUUUAUGGAGCUUUCCGGGCCAGCAUCAGUUUGGAUGGCAGGAUAAUUGCGUUGGAAAGUAGCACCACUUCGGUGGUGUGUUAUAGACUUCGUCGAUACUGCCUAUCUAGACUGAGGACCGCGUCUUUGACUAGGAUGCUGGCGUAAUGAUCUUAAGCCGC